rnacentral:tRNA from 1 species
CGCGGGGUGGAGCAGUCAGGUAGCUCGUCAGGCUCAUAACCUGAAGGCCGGCCGUUCAAAUCGGCCCCCCGCAACCA